AUGUCGAACGACUCCUUGGUUACAUCACGAAUAGUAGGUGAUGUGUUGGACCCCUUCCGUAGCACAGUUGAUCUGACAGUGCUCUAUGACGGUAGGUUCGUCAUUAACGGCAUGGAGUUCCGCUCACCGGCGGUAUCGGGCAAGCCGAGCGUCGAGAUCGGCGGUGAUGAUAUUAGCGUGACAUACACCCUUGUCAUGGUGGAUCCUGAUGCUCCUAACCCCAGCAAUCCGACCUUGAGGGAAUAUCUUCACUGGAUGGUAACCGAUAUCCCAGGAUCAAUGGAUGACACCUACGGGCGGGAGGUGGUGUGCUACGAGAGUCCGACGCCGACGACGGGGAUCCACCGCAUGGUGCUGGUGCUGUUCCGGCAGCUCGGGCGGAACACGGUGUACGCGGCGUCCAUGCGCCACAACUUCAACACCCGCAGCUUCGCCCGCCGCUACAACCUUGGCGCGCCCGUCGCCGCAAAGUACUUCAACUGCCAGCGCCAGGCCGGCUCCGGCGGCCGGAAGUUCACCGGGCCCUAUACCAGCCACCGCCAGCAAAUCUAA
rnacentral:rRNA from 1 species